rfam:Monoraphidium neglectum strain SAG 48.87 mitochondrion, whole genome shotgun sequence.
GUCCUCGUCGUCUAGUGGUUAGGACAAUGCUCUUUCACAGCGUAAACACGGGCUCGAAUCCCGUCGAGGUCG